UAGAGAAGUGGCAGAACAAUGCCUUGGGCCUAAGAUCCAAUAAUGAGAAUACCUCCUUCUUUAA
rnacentral:tRNA from 1 species